CACCUUCACACAUGGCACACCGCUCAUCCUGCGCUGUGGAGAAAACCACAUUGUCUGCUUGCUGUUGCUACUUUUACACCAGCAGCAUUCUGAUCCAACAUUGUGAUCUAUGCCUAGGAAGCCUGAGAAUUUGUUUUAAAUUCUCCAACAUCUCUCUACAUUUUAAAGGCUUUUUUAAGUUUUCCUUCCCAUCACCUCCAAUCUCCCCCAUCCCUCCCGGGCUUUCGCACGGUCCUUCCA